AUCUAUUUUUACUUGUUCAGCAAUCCCAUGAAACAAGUAGAACAAGCAAUUAUUUUAUCCUUUCUGAAGGUAAGAAAACCCAAUCAGUGUGGUUGCUAUGCUUAUUCAGAGUUUUCUCAGUUUUAUCCUUACUACUUAAAUAUAUUAUUCCUUAAGUUUUUCCUUUAAAAAUAUAUAGGAUUUUAUAACUGGUAGAAUCAUUUGUUGAUUUAGAUUGUAGAUACACUCCUGAAAUUAUCUCUCAGCCUGACGUAGAUUUUACAUGAAUAAGGUGGUUUUUGUUUUGUCCUUUAGUGAAUCAUUUUGCAAAUGAAAAAUAUCUAUUUUUGUUUGAUUUUUUUUUUUUCUUUGAGACAGAGUCUUGCUGUCUCACCAGGCUGGAGUGCAGUGGUGCAAUCUCGGCUCACUACAACCUCUGCCUCCCGGGUUCAAGCGAUUCUCCUGCCUCAGCCUCCCAAGUAGCUGGGACUACAGGCACGUGCGCCAUCACACCCACCUAAUUUUUGUAUUUUUAGUAGAGAUGGGGCUUCACCAUGUUGGCCAGGAUGGUCUCAAUCUCUUGACCUCGUGAUCCUCCCACCUUGGACUCCCAAAGUACUGGGAUUACAGGCAUGAGCCACCGCACCUGGCCUGUUGGAUUUUUUUUAUAAUCUUGGUUAAUUUAAAGCAAAACAUUUUCUUAAAUGCCUCAUCAUAUAAAAUGUUAUUAGGACCAUGUGAGGGUAGGCAGUCUGUCAUAGGGGACUCGUUAAAUACUAGUUUUAUUACUUAUUGUGAAUCCUAGGGCAUAUUAGUAAACCUCUAUCAACCUUGCUCUCCUCUACUUCAGUUUGAUAUAAUAGUAGUCUUAAUUCACAGUUAUUAUUGAGUGUCAAGUGAGAUGACUGCAAAGCAUUUACAACAGUCCCUGGCACUAAUAACUACCUGAGAUAUUAUCAGCUAUUAUUAGAUUUGUAUUUUCUAUUGUAGGAAAUUUAUAACUAUAUAAGUAAUGCAGUUUUAAAGACAAAGAGUCAAAAGGAAAUGAAUUAACAUUUACUUGUGAAUUUUGCAUCAAAUAAUUUCUGUAAGUUUAAUAGCACAAAUAUGAUUUACAUUUAGAUACAUACAUAAAAUGUAAUUAAGAAAUAGGGAAUAGUUCCUACGCUAAAGUAUUUUUCUUCUUAAAAAUAUAUGUUCUUUAGAUAAUCAAAGGGUUUUAUACUCACUUAAUGCUUAAUUAUGAUGAUAUUAAAAAUCAUUUUUUCUGUUUAAGAAAGUCUUAUAUUAUUGUUCUAAAAUCAUUUCCUAUGAGGAGUCAAGAAGAUAUUGAAACUUAUUUGAUUCUGUUAGAAUGUUCAAAAAAAUUUGUCUUUUUCAUUCGUUGCCAAUACAGUCUCUGAAGAAAAUAAACAUUGUAUUAUGGUGGGACAAAUGUUUUAAUUUAUGUUAAGUGUUUACAUAAUACAAACGUCUGGUGUCUAUAGAAUGAUCAAAGUAUUGAAGUUUAAGUUCAUUUUCAUAGAAAGUCCAAUCAGCAGCAUAUCUCCAUCUCUAUCUAAAAAGAUAUUAUAGACAUAAGUAUAUUCUUCUUAGUGCACUGGAGCUCUUGUUAGAUAAUGUAUCAAGAUGAUAAAGUGCUUUUUCAAGAAAUUUAUUGAAUUACUUUGGUAUAUAAUAUAAUUUACCCAAAUACAGCAUUCAUGACGUCUACUUCAUACCCUUCACCAUUCAGCUAUAUUUUUUCCCCUUUAAUCUCUUCUACAUGCAUUUCAUUAGUAAUAAAGGAAUCUUCCAAAAUUUAUUCCAUGGAUCCAUUUUAGAUAAACAAGAGUUAGAACUGAUUUUACCAAAUUUAGAUUUCUAUUCUAAUUUUUUAUUCUUAGUGGUCUAUGAAAACAGUGUUUAUUAAUUUACUUUAUUUUUUAGGCAAGCCAAAUUAGAGCUGAGAGUUGCUGUAGCAAAAGUGGAAGAGUUAACUAAUGUGACUGAAGAUCUGCAGGGACAGAUGAAAAAGAAGAUUAUGUGUGACAAUCCAAGAAGCCAACCAAUUAAGAACCGAAAAUACACAUCUGGAAAAACAGACCAGAGAGCUACAAGCAAAGUGCAAUGAAUUAGAAAGUGAGAGAUACGAGGCUAUUGUAAGAGCCAGAAAUAGCAUGCAACUCUUAGAAGAAGCUAACCUUCAAAAAAGUCAGGCUCUACUUGAGGAAAAGCAAAAAGAAGAAGACAUAGAGAAAAUGAAAGAGACAGUUUCUCGGUUUGUACAAGAUGCUACCAUAAGAACCAAGAAAGAAGUUGCAAACACCAAAAAACAAUGUAAUAUACAAAUUUCUCGAUUAACAGAAGAACUUUCAGCCCUUCAAAUGGAGUGUGCUGAAAAACAAGGCCAAAUUGAACGAAUCAUUAAGGAAAAAAAAGCAGUGGAAGAAGAACUAGAAAAGAUUUACCGUGAAGGCAGAGGAAAUGAGAGUGAUUACAGAAAACUGGAAGAAAUGCACCAAAGAUUCCUGGUUUCAGAGCGUUCAAAAGAUGAUCUUCAGCUAAGACUUACGAGAGCAGAAAAUAGAAUAAAACAACUUGAAACUGACUCCUCAGAAGAAAUAUCACGUUACCAAGAAAUGAUUCAGAAACUUCAAAAUGUAUUGGAGUCUGAGAGAGAGAACUGUGGGCUUGUCAGUGAACAAAGGCUAAAACUUCAGCAAGAAAAUAAACAGUUACGGAAAGAGACUGAGAGUUUAAGGAAGAUUGCCCUGGAGGCUCAAAAAAAAGCCAAAGUAAAGAUCACUACAAUGGAACAUGAAUUUUCAAUAAAGGAACGUGGGUUUGAAGUUCAAUUGAGAGAGAUGGAAGACAGUAAUAGAAAUUCCAUUGUUGAACUGAGGCAUCUCCUAGCGACUCAACAGAAGGCAGCCAAUAGGUGGAAAGAAGAAACGAAGAAACUUACUGAAAGUGCAGAAAGUAGAAUCAGUAAUCUAAAGACUGAGCUGAGUCGACAGAAACUUCAUACCCAAGAGCUGCUUUCUCAGCUGGAAAUGGCAAAUGAAAAGGUAGCUGAGAAUGAAAAGCUAAUUCUAGAGCAUCAAGAAAAAGCCAACAGACUUCAAAGGCGUCUAAGUCAGGCAGAAGAGAGAGCUGCUUCAGCUUCCCAGCAGCUCAGUGUGAUUACAGUGCAGAGAAGAAAAGCAGCCUCCCUGAUGAAUCUGGAAAAUAUUUAAAAAUAUUCAUAGUUCACUCACAGAACUUUAGAGUUGGGAAAGCAGUUGGACUAGAAGUGUGUUGAAAUGGUAAAGCCUGCAAAGUAUAAUAGUUAAGGCUUGUGUAAUUUUGCAUUGUUGUUCUGUUUUGAGGGUUAUUGGAAAACAGAGCAGUGACCACUUCCUGUAAGUAAAGAAAAUAUAAUCCUCUAUUGAGCUUCAGUGGAGAAUAAACCAGCUGAGAAGAACUCAUUGCCUUCAUCAACGUGUCUGUUUUUUAAUUCCUCCUUUUUCCCUUGAAAGGACAUAAUAAUUUUCAAACUAUGCAAAUUUCUCUUUCAUAAGAAAGUUUUUAAGAAAAUUCUAGAAUUUAAUAUUUCAGUUUCCAAGAUUUGAGAAUUUUACAUCUAAUUGUUACUUCUAACUCAUUUUUAAAGUUCCUAAGUAUCCAUUUUAUUAUGAACUCAUAAAUGUAAUAAAUUGUGCACUUUCU
rnacentral:sRNA from 1 species